rnacentral:lncRNA from 1 species
CUGGCAUCAGAGGGUGAGGGCCGAUGGGCGGUGCGCCAUUCGGGGAGAAGGGCUCAGGCUUGGAGAUCAAGGAGUAGUUCCCUUUGUCAUUCACCCCGGGGUGUAUAAAUCGACAGUUCAUGCCCCAAGUGCAAUGACCUUUCAUGAAGAACCGACAGGUGGGACGUGGCCUCACUUUUCUGUCGUUGGGAUCUUUAACUUCUCCCUCUUCCAAGUCAUCGUCAUCAAUUUCGCCAUCAUCGAUCUCUCCAUCAUCUUCUUCUUUCUUCUUUUCCUUGAUGGGAUCCUGGCCGUCCUUUUCAUCAUCGC